CAAAACUCAAAUUGGCUUGUGGGUCGGGCCUUGAAAAGCCCAGCUACAUCUGAGGUAUGUAUACGCGGCAUCUUCUUGAUCGUUCAGCUGCCCGUCGAAGCUCUGGAUUCUCAACUACCAAACAGAGAAUGACUGUGAAAUGAAUUGAGUCUUAGUUGAAUUUUGUUGUUGUUUCAGAUGCUACUAAGAGUGCCUUUAUAUCUCCAAACAUGUCAUGGUCUAGGGUUUUCAGAUUGCCUCAGAUUUACAAGGAUGUACAUCACUCCUCUUCUCGAUACAGGUGCUCACUCGAUUCUUCAUGGUUGACACGUAAUUUUGUGGGACCUAAUAGUACUAGAAAUGGGUGGGAUUUCAGUUAUGAAUUUCAGGGUGUAAUGACAAGAUGCGAAUCAAGUGUGGGGUCGUUUGGUAAAUGUGGUCAGUUAACUCCAUGUUUGGAUGUGCGGCGCCAAUAUGCAACUCAUGCUACCUGAGAACAUAAAUCAAAAAAGAUGCUUUUAUAUCUGACAGGAUUGGUUUUUGCAAUGGUGGGGUGAACUUACACUGCGAUUCCUCUGUAUAGGAGAUUUUGCCAAGCUACUGGAUAUGGGGGUACUGUUUAGCGU